AUGGAAAUCUACACAAAGUUCAAGUCUCUCGUUACAUCAAAAGUCACCAUAUUCAAAACUAUUACCGGUACAACACAUCCAUACCAUUACAAAUGUAUAGAAAAAUUACACAAAAAAAAAUCAUAUUCUAAGCUGCUGCAUCUUGCUAAAACUCCAUUUCCCAUGAACCAAAUAAGUAUCCAUGAGUCUUGUUCUUCAUCAUGCGUUCCCGGUUCCUUCUUCAAAUACUUCACUUACUUUCCUCGAAAAAACAUCAAACACCAUGAGGCUAUUCACAAAAAACAGUCAUGCUUCAAGAGACCAUUCUGA